rnacentral:rRNA from 1 species
ACGCACGCUGGCGGCGUGCUUAACACAUGCCAGUCGAACGGAAAGGCCCUGCUUUUGUGGGGUGCUCGAGUGGCGAACGGGUGAGUAACACGUGAAUAACCUGCCCUUGACUUUGGGAUAACUUCAGGAAACUGGGGCUAAUACCGGAUAGGAGCUCCUGCUGCAUGGUGGGGGUUGGAAAGUUUCGGCGGUUGGGGAUGGACUCGCGGCUUAUCAGCUUGUUGGUGGGGUAGUGGCUUACCAAGGCUUUGACGGGUAGCCGGCCUGAGAGGGUGACCGGCCACAUUGGGACUGAGAUACGGCCCAGACUCCUACGGGAGGCAGCAGUGGGGAAUAUUGCACAAUGGGCGGAAGCCUGAUGCAGCAACGCCGCGUGCGGGAUGACGGCCUUCGGGUUGUAAACCGCUUUCGCCUGUGACGAAGCGUGAGUGACGGUAAUGGGUAAAGAAGCACCGGCUAACUACGUG